rnacentral:tRNA from 1 species
GGAUGAUGUAGAGUCAGAUGGCUACUGACAGCGGACUGUAACCCCGCCGCUUCUGCUAGAGGUUCAAUUCCUUCCUUCAUCCACCA